CCCUUAGAUGUCCUGGGCCGCACGCGCGUUACACUGAUGCAUUCAACGAGUCUAAAACCUGCUCUGAUAGGGGUGGGUAAUCUUUUGAAUGUGCAUCGUGAUUGGGAUAGAUGAUUGCAAUUUUUCAUCUUCAACGAGGAAUGCCUAGUAAACGCAAGUCAUCAGCUUGCAUUGAUUACGUCCCUGCCCUUUGUACACACCGCCCGUCGCUCCUACCGAUUGAAUGAUCCGAUGAAUAUCAUGGAUUGAGGAUGCAAGCAGGUUCGCCUGUCUUCAUCUUCGAGAAGUGAAGUAAAUCUUAUCAUUUAGAGGAAGGAGAAGUCGUAACA
rnacentral:rRNA from 1 species